rnacentral:rRNA from 1 species
UACGUAGGGACCGAGCGUUGUCCGGAAUCAUUGGGCGUAAAGAGCGUGUAGGCGGCUUGCUAAGUCUUGCGUGAAAUCUCGGGGCUCAACCCCCGAGCGGUCGUGGGAAACUGGCAGGCUAGAGUGCGGGAGAGGAGAAUGGAAUUCCUGGUGUAGCGGUGAAAAUGCGUAGAGAUCGGGAGGAAGGCCGGUGGCGAAGGCGGCGCUCUGGAACGUUACUGACGCUGAGACACGAAAAGCGUGGGGGAGCAAACAGG